AACACAAAACAGAAAUGCACAGUUAAUAUUGUUGCUGUUGGUUGUGCUACAAAUAAUGAAUCUGCUGCAAAUAAUGAAGCAACAAGCUUCAACACUGGAAAUCCUUCUAAGCAUAUUAGUAUCGAAGCAAGAAAACCUUCAGAGAGAAAAGAGGCAGAUUCCAGUGAAAGAAUUCUUUGUCAUAGCCCUCCACCACUUCCACCACCACUUGCACUGGUGGAGCUUAAAACUCAAGCUGCAUGUAGUACAGAAACAGAGGUUAUAUACUGUCUCUAAUUAGAAGAAUGGAAAUUUUAGAAGAACAGAGUAUCAUGGUGCCAUCCCAAUUGGGUUGCUUAACAUACCAUUUCUUUGGAAAUACUAGCCCGGCAUGAACACAAGGGCAGGUACUCUGCUACAUACAUGAACAGUAAUGGAAGUACUCCUAGUGCCCCAUCUGCUUGUAAUCUACCUCAGCAUACUGAUCCAGUAACUCCAACUAAUGAGCCAGUAAAGGCAAUCAUCACCAAUA